AGAGUUUGAUCCUGGCUCAGAACGAACGCUGGCGGCAGGCUUAACACAUGCAAGUCGAGCGCCCCGCAAGGGGAGCGGCAGACGGGUGAGUAACGCGUGGGAAUCUACCUUUUGCUACGGAACAACAGUUGGAAACGACUGCUAAUACCGUAUGUGCCCUUCGGGGGAAAGAUUUAUCGGCAAAGGAUGAGCCCGCGUUGGAUUAGCUAGUUGGUGGGGUAAAGGCCUACCAAGGCGACGAUCCAUAGCUGGUCUGAGAGGAUGAUCAGCCACACUGGGACUGAGACACGGCCCAGACUCCUACGGGAGGCAGCAGUGGGGAAUAUUGGACAAUGGGCGCAAGCCUGAUCCAGCCAUGCCGCGUGAGUGAUGAAGGUCUUAGGAUUGUAAAGCUCUUUCACCGGUGAAGAUAAUGACGGUAACCGGAGAAGAAGCCCCGGCUAACUUCGUG
rnacentral:rRNA from 1 species